AGUGACAACGGCGAGCCAAUAGUCACCUUACAUGCAGGUUUAUACAACGGACGAUUAUUGACUGUUCUGCCUUGCACACCAGGAGUUGAACGCACUGAGCAAUGCCUGCAACGCCUCCAGGACUGCGGUAUACAGCUCCCUGCGGAACAAUGCAGACACUCUCUACAGAUCCCUGCACUCAUCCCAGAGGUCCACAGAUACAUUUUCUUCAGCUCUCGAGGUUUUGGAAUAAU